GGGCCAUGUUUCUUCUCAGCAUAAUUCCACUGGCAACAUGGGCUGUGUGUAGAUGAAAUGAGAGACGUAUGUGAACCAGCCUCCACGUGCCAGCCCCCGCCUCCUAGGGACCACUCUGCCCACCAGCAGCUCACCCUCCUCUCCCCCCUGGAGAGGCAGGCCACAGUUCUAGGAGGGAAUGAUGUAUUGAGGAAGUAAACUGAUGACUCUGGUGGUGGUGCUACUGAGAGGGCUUCAUAUUCCUCAACCACAGCAUGCACUUGAGGGAGAGAGGACUCCUGGGAAGGGAUGGCAUCCACCUCGCAUGGAAAGAGUUUAACUCGUAAUUCCUAAGACCCAGGUCCUUUCUUCUACCAGAGCCGCCUCACUUCUCAGGCAUUCAGGUGCAAAUUUCCUGCUGUGGAAUUCCAUUUGAUGACUGCCUGCACUUCGCAUCUCCGACUUACGCCACAAAAAGAUGCUUUGAAGAUGCUGAGCUAAAGGAUAUAAAAGAGGAAUGAAACUGCUAAUGGCAUGCUUGAAGAAUGAGAAAUCGUUCUGACAAGAACUGCUACUGUGCUCAGCUGAUGUUUUGGUGAACUGAUCCACGCCUUGAAGCUGACAAGACCGAAACUGCCUCUUUGCCUGUAUUGAUUGGAAUUCUGUCACUCCUGUCACUAUUGGUAAUUGCUUCCUGAAGGCAUGUUUCAGCUUGCCAACCGAUCCAGAACAGAUGAUAUUGGCAAUAGGUCUGGGGAACCUGUUAUGGAUGCAGAAUGAUCUACAAUCACUGAUGAGCCCUGCAAGUUACCUCUUUGUGCUACCCACAUGUAAAGCUGAACAAGGGUCUAAAACUUUUAUGCGUGUUGCAAAAAUCAGACAAAGGUAAAGAGCAUCAGAUCUCUGAAUAUCUCCAAACGGUAGCAAGGCUCUCCUUUAACCAGGGUCAACAAAGAACUACUGGACCAUGGAGAUGUGAUGUUUACCUGGUCUUCUAGAGUAAGCAGGAAGGAAUGAUCAUGCCACCCUUCUUUUUCAUAUCUCAGUAAUGUCAUGGAUGUCUUCUGGUCCUUCAAACACUGCAAAAGCACAGUGAUGGACUGACUUGGUUUAAAAUUAUGGGGACAAUUGUUAUAACCCCUUUGUGACAGAGGUCAUAAAUUGUCCAAUAAACCAAUUGACACUAACUGGUAGGUUAAACAUGAGAGUGCUAUGACCUGUUGGGAUGCAGGCUGAAAGACAACAUUACUGAACUGUGUCCUAAAACCAAUUUGCCUGAAGAUUUUGAACAUGGACCUAUGUUUUUCCACAUUUGAAGUAGGGUUAUCUGUGGAUAAGCCUUGCUUGUGUUCUUGCUGUGUUAAACUUCUUUUUUCAAGGGUAAGUAGGCAUUAUGUACAGACAGUGACUUAACUAAAUAAUAUCUGUAUCCACUUCUCAAACAGAGAGGGAUUAACCAAAUACUGGCAUCUUCCUGACCUCUCAAAAGCUGGAGAAAUAGAAAUGGGGGAGAGGGGGGAUGAAUUAUUGAAUUAUUAAAUGACUUCCAACAUUCUUCUGCUGACAGCAUUUUUCAUAAAGUAUUAUGUAUUCAAAAACUUGUUUAACCUCUAAAAGUUAAGCAUAAUCAUAACUAACAAGGUAACUUUUUGCAAGGGCUGAAGGGCUG